rnacentral:rRNA from 1 species
AACAAACGCUGGCGGCGUGCCUAACACAUGCAAGUCGAACGAGAAAGUCAGUUUCGGCCGAUGAGUAAAGUGGCGCACGGGUGAGUAACGCGUGGAUAAUCUACCCUUUAGUCCGGAAUAACUUGCCGAAAGGUGAACUAAUACCGGAUGACAUCCCGGGUUCUCCGGAAACCGGGAUCAAAGAAGGCCUCUGCUUGCAAGCUUUUGCUGAAGGAUGAGUCCGCGUACCAUUAGCUAGUUGGUGGGGUAAUGGCCUACCAAGGUUAUGAUGGUUAGCUGGUCUGAGAGGAUGAUCAGCCACACUGGAACUGAAACACGGUCCAGACUCCUACGGGAGGCAGCAGUGGGGAAUAUUGGACAAUGGGGGCAACCCUGACGCAGCAACGCCGCGUGAGUGAGGAAGGUUUUCGGACCGUAAAGCUCUGUCGAGCGGGAAGAAAUGUAUCAUGGCUAAUAUCCAUGAUACUUGACGGUACCGCUAAAGGAAGCACCGGCUAACUCCGUG